rnacentral:rRNA from 1 species
UAGGUUAAUGAGGCGAACCGGGGGAACUGAAACAUCUAAGUACCCCGAGGAAAAGAAAUCAACCGAGAUUCCCCCAGUAGCGGCGAGCGAACGGGGAGCAGCCCAGAGCCUGAAUCAGUGUGUGUGUUAGUGGAAGCGUCUGGAAAGGCGCGCGAUACAGGGUGACAGCCCCGUACACAAAAAUGCACAUGCUGUGAGCUCGAUGAGUAGGGCGGGACACGUGGUAUCCUGUCUGAAUAUGGGGGGACCAUCCUCCAAGGCUAAAUACUCCUGACUGACCGAUAGUGAACCAGUACCGUGAGGGAAAGGCGAAAAGAACCCCGGCGAGGGGAGUGAAAAAGAACCUGAAACCGUGUACGUACAAGCAGUGGGAGCCUCUUUAUGGGGUGACUGCGUACCUUUUGUAUAAUGGGUCAGCGACUUAUAUUCUGUAGCAAGGUUAACCGAAUAGGGGAGCCGAAGGGAAACCGAGUCUUAACUGGGCGUUAAGUUGCAGGGUAUAGACCCGAAACCCGGUGAUCUAGCCAUGGGCAGGUUGAAGGUUGGGUAACACUAACUGGAGGACCGAACCGACUAAUGUUGAAAAAUUAGCGGAUGACUUGUGGCUGGGGGUGAAAGGCCAAUCAAACCGGGAGAUAGCUGGUUCUCCCCGAAAGCUAUUUAGGUAGCGCCUCGUGAAUUCAUCUCCGGGGGUAGAGCACUGUUUCGGCAAGGGGGUCAUCCCGACUUACCAACCCGAUGCAAACUGCGAAUACCGGAGAAUGUUAUCACGGGAGACACACGGCGGGUGCUAACGUCCGUCGUGAAGAGGGAAACAACCCAGACCGCCAGCUAAGGUCCCAAAGUCAUGGUUAAGUGGGAAACGAUGUGGGAAGGCCCAGACAGCCAGGAUGUUGGCUUAGAAGCAGCCAUCAUUUAAAGAAAGCGUAAUAGCUCACUGGUCGAGUCGGCCUGCGCGGAAGAUGUAACGGGGCUAAACCAUGCACCGAAGCUGCGGCAGCGAC